UAAAAAUGUUGACAUUAUUGCCCUUGUUUUAAUUUUUACCGAAAAUAAAAUUUUUCACUCAUAAAAAAUGUGGAGCAGGACUGGAUCGCCGAGUGAAACCGAAGAGCCCUCAACGUCGGGUAGAUGCACCGGAGAGACGCCGUUGACGCCGGAAAAGGAGGAUUAUGGUGGAGACGGAAAUGAUUAUAGUGGGAUGCGUUAUAUCAUGACCGGGUGCAGCAGUGGAACAAUCUAGUUGCCUUUUCUAUGUGACCUAAUAUUGCUAUUGCUAUGUUUUUCCCAUUUAUUUAAUUUUCGGAUUCUAAUUUUCGUAUUUA